rnacentral:rRNA from 1 species
CCUACGGGAGGCAGCAGUGAGGAAUAUUGGUCAAUGGCCGGAAGGCUGAACCAGCCAUGCCGCGUGAAGGUCAGUGCCAUAUGGGCGUUAAACUUCUUUUGUGCGGGAGCAAUAAUGGUCACGUGUGGCCAGACGAGAGUACCGUACGAAUAAGCAUCGGCUAACUCCGUGCCAGCAGCCGCGGUAAUACGGGGGAUGCAAGCGUUGUCCGGAUUUAUUGGGUUGAAAGGGUGCGUAGGCUGUGAGGUAAGUCAGCGGUGAAAUGCCCCCGCUCAACGGGGUGAAGUGCCUUUGAUACUGCUUUACUGGAAUGCGGAUGCGGUGGGAGGAAUGUGUGGUGUAGCGGUGAAAUGCAUAGAUAUCACACAGAACACCGAUUGCGAAGGCAUCUCACGAAUCCGCGAUUGACGCUGAUGCACGAAAGCGUGGGUAGCAAACAGGAUUAGAUACCCGGGUAGUC